GGGGUUGUGGCUCAGUGGUAGAGCACUCAUCUAGCAGGUGUGAGGCAUUGGGUUUGAACCCACAGCACCA
rnacentral:tRNA from 1 species